AGAGGAUUAGAGCUGGAAUGGAUAAGUAUAAGAACCAGAUCCGUUGUCAACUCCUCUACCACCACCAAUACUCAGAUGCAAACUCACCUCCUCUUCUCUACCCCAACCUGACCCUGACCCUGACCCAGGGCCUCCACAGCCAACCCCUUUUCUAUCUCACUCUCCUCCAAGCCACCGCCAAAGCUUCACUCUUCAAGCCCAACAACCCGGCGGAGCUUUCUCUUCGAGGUCAAAGCCACGACGUCGCGGCUCUCCGGUCUUCUUUCAUUUUGGAUAGCUCCGUUGAGUGUAGGUAAAUCGAAGUCGAAUUCAGCGCAACUAGUGGGCCAACGCAGUGGAAGAGAGAGACUAAGGAGGGAUGUCGAGCUCCUGCCGCCGCCGCCGGAGACUAAGAGAUUGAGCGUGGGAUGUUUGGGUUCGAUCAGAUCGCACUGAGGAGGAUACAAGCCUGGUGUUCAUAUUUUGAUUGAAGAAGGAUGGUGGUAGUUUGGUCAAGAUCCAAAGAUGCCCAUUGUUAUAAUCUUGUAUGAUUAUGCAUAUCCCACCUCUCCAACAGGAGAGUUAUAUCCUACCUUGACAAGAUUUAAUUUCCAAUCCUAGAGUAAACUGAACCACCAAACACUAGCUUGGAUUUUUUUAGUCCUAUCCAAUUAUUAAUCCAGAAGUUUGUAGCCGUCAAAAUGAUGGAGGUUCCGGGAAGGCGGUCAAUGCACCACUACAUGUCCUCGACACAGCGAACCUCGAAGCACACGCCGCAAAUUUGGCCACUCUCAAUCGAACAGCGCCCCACCAUUGCCAUUCCGAAAUUGGCUUUCAUCAAGUAGCAAUAGCCGCACGGCCUGCCCACAGCUUCGGGUCGGUCUCCACCACCUCCACUCAGAAGCAGGUUCAGAUCUUCCAAGUUGAAAUUCCGGCCAUUAUCACCAGCUCCGGUUAUUUCUAAGCUUACCAGUUCGAGUGAUGUAAGGUUAUAGCUUAGGGAGGAUGGAGUAAUGAGAUGUUGAUAAGGGUGAUAGAUUAUGUUUCACUGUCAUUAUGUGGAAGUAGAUGAAGGCUUGGAGGUUAUGGUGUUACACAUUGGCGCUGGGAGAUGGUGAAUUCUAUUCUAUUGCGUUUAUUCCAAAGAAAGAGGAGAUGUUGGUGUGUGGGUUUAUUUUGAGUCUUAAAUAAUGGGUGGGGAUUUAAUGCAUGUUGUUGUUUAUGUCCAUAAGUUUCAUUUUAGGGAUUUUUUUUCCUUCUGUUUUGAC